AAAAUAAUAUGCAGAUACGAAUUACGCAUCGGAAAGUAACUCACGCUCCUACCAACCAACGAGUCGUUUGAUUAGUUUUCUUGGCUGCUUGCAAAUUUCCUACACGGUGGUUACUCCCAUGGUUAUUCCUACUAUUCAAUCAAAACGGGCAACUCUCAGUCUUUUAACCAGAACCUUGCUCCGGCGGUGGCUGUCCCCGUGCUUGUUUUGAGCCUGUUAAUGUACACAAUCCACCAAUGCUGCCAACGACGUAAACUGCGAGCUACUCGAUCAGCAACAGAAAGAGCUCAACAGGCACCGCAACUUUCGACCCAAGAGGAAAUCAUCCCGAUUUCUGCUAUCAGGGAAGAACUUGUCAAAAGACAAAUCGAACUGCUUAUUGCUCAAAAUGAAGCACCUGAGCAAGAAGGACAUCUACAGGACAAUGGGGUUCCACUAACGGAAGAUGAAAUGAACCGUCGUAUUCAAUCCAAAGUCAUCGAGCAAUCGGACGACACAAUAUGUGUCAGCAAAAUUUGACGAUUGGCGAAAUGAAGAUGACCUUGCCGUGCCAGCAUGUUGGCCACAAGGCGUGCGUAGCAGCAUGGCUGACUACCUAUUCACGCAACUGCCCAGUAUGCAGGCAGUCGGUGUGCGCUGAACCGGUCACUGAAACAACUAGAGAGGAUGCCUGAACCGAUUUUGCCGCCUUUGG